rnacentral:rRNA from 1 species
UACGUAGGGGGCAAGCGUUAUCCGGAUUUAUUGGGCGUAAAGAGCUCGUAGGCGGCUUGUCACGUCGGAUGUGAAAAUCCAGGGCUCAACCCUGGACCUGCAUUCGAUACGGGCAGGCUAGAAUUCGGUAGGGGAGACUGGAAUUCCUGGUGUAGCGGUGAAAUGCGCAGAUAUCAGGAGGAACACCGGUGGCGAAGGCGGCUCUCUGGGACGGUACUGACGCUAAGGCGCGAAAGCGUGGGGAGCAAACAGG